rnacentral:tRNA from 1 species
UGUCGGGUCGUUCAAUUGGAAGGACAUAACGAUACGAACGUUAAGACCAAGGUUCGACUCCUUGUCCGGCAUCAA